rnacentral:rRNA from 1 species
CAGCCGCCGCGGUAAUACGAAGGGGGCUAGCGUUGCUCGGAAUUACUGGGCGUAAAGGGCGCGUAGGCGGACAGUUCAGUCGGGGGUGAAAGCCCGGGGCUCAACCUCGGAAUUGCCUUCGAUACUGGCUGUCUUGAGUAUGAGAGAGGUGUGCGGAACUCCGAGUGUAGAGGUGAAAUUCGUAGAUAUUCGGAAGAACACCAGUGGCGAAGGCGACACACUGGCUCAUUACUGACGCUGAGGCGCGAAAGCGUGGGGAGCAAACAGGAUUAGAUACCCCAGUAGUCCCUGUCUCUUAUAC